rnacentral:lncRNA from 1 species
AGAAAGACAGAGCCACCAAGCGACCGAGCCGCUCCCGGAUCACGUGCCAGGUCCGCCGGCUUCACUGGCCCGCCCUCGGCGCGCGCGCACGCACGCACCGGCGCGCGCCUCCCCGCCCCGUCCUCGCCCACCGCCCCGCCCCGAGAAACGGCAGGCGCUCGCGAGCCAGAGCAAGGGUCGGGGCGGGGCUUACGGGCCGGGUGCGCAUGCGUUCUAUAGUGGGAUCCGCGCCCGCCACUAGGAAUGGCAGUUUCUCUUGCGCUUGCGCAGGCCGGGAGCGUCCGAAGGAGAAGAAUGGGCGUGGUCAUGGGGGGUGUGACCCUGACAGCAAAGGCAAGGUCAGAAGAAUGAAAGAAUUGAAACAGAGUUCUCCGUUAUGCUUUGCCUCUACCAAUUGCCCUUUGGGCAUCUGCAACAUAAGGUUUUGUGCAUUGGUGGUGCCAAGAAAACAUCCACUCUCUGCCCCACUGACGCCUGCGGGCACUGAGAGGUAAAAAGCUUCUUGCAAGGAUGGUGGGUGGGGGAUGCAGGCUGCUCUACCAUAUUCUCCAGCGGUGCAAAGCAGAAGCUACCCAUAAAGUUUUGGGAGAAUCUGGAGAAAGGGAACUGAAGUUAGUAGCAUAGAUAAGAGAAGGGCAAAAGGUGUAGGGUUGUUACAUGCAUCUGCCUGAGCUGUGUACUGUGCAACUCACAAAGACUAUGAUCUGAAUGAGUGGUGUUCCCCGAUAGGGUUCAAUAUGGGGAGUUGUAGUUGGUGACCCAUAUUCAAGUGGUGAGAGGAAUAAAAAAGUCAGGCGGCGCCUGGCUGACUCAGUCAGUGGAGCAUGUGACUCUUGAUCUCGGGGUUGUGAGUUCGAGCCCCAUGUUGGGAGUAGAAAUUACUUAAAAAUAAAAUCUUUAGGGGUGCCUGGGUGGCUCAGUCGUUUAAGCGUCUGCCUUUUGCUCAGGUCGUGAUCCCAGGGUCCUGGGAUGGAGCCCCACAAUGGGCUCCCUGCUCAGUGGAGAGCCUGCUCUUCCCUCUCCCUCUACUGCUCCUCCUGCUUGUGUUCUCUCUCUCUCUCUCAAAUAAAUAAAUAAAUAAAUAAAUAAAACCUUGGGGGAAAAAAAAAGAAAAAUAGAAACGUCAAAAGGGGCAGAAAUAAUUGGGAAGGGAAACAGAACUAGAACAGCAGUGUCCCUGAAGUCAAGAAAAAGGUUUGGAAAAGGAAGGACGCUCAGGAAUGUCAAAAGCCACUAAGAGGCCAAUAAUAAUAACGAAGCCCAGGGAAAGAUGAGUGGAUUUGCCAGUGAACAGACUCCUCGGCUGGGAGGCAGCCUAACCUACAAGAGAGAUCAAAUGUCAUGUAACCCCUCCCCCCCGCCAUUUUUAAAUUCUGAUUCUGGGGGCGCCUGGGUGGCUCAGUCGUUAAGCAUCUGCCUUUGGCUCAGGGCGUGAUCCCGGAGUUCUGGGAUCGAGCCCUGCAUCAGGCUCCUCCGCUGAGGAGGCUGUUUCUUCCUCUCCCGCUCCCCCUGCUUGUGUUCCCUCUCUCGCUGCCUGUCUCUCUCUGUCAAAUAAAUAAAUAAAAUCUUUAAAAAAGAAAAUUCUGAUUCUGCCACUUGCUAGGUGACAACCUUGGGCAAAUCACGUAAGCCCUUUGUGCUGAAGUUGGGAUAAAUAAGCCCUCCUUCACUGGCUCAUUGUGAAAAUUUCGAAAGCAACCUGGCAUUCCCUAUUCCCCCUUCUUUAUUUUUCUCUGUAGCCUUUAUCACAUUUCGAAGUACUAUAUAAUUUUUAAAUUUGUUCCCCUGCCCCCAACAUUCUAGAAUUAUGUCCAAGAGGGCAGGGAUUUUGUCCUUUUUUUUUGUUCACCUCAGUAUUCUCUGUGCCUACGACAGUACCAAGCACAUACUAGGCACUCAAUACAUAGUUGUUGGAAUAAUUAUUCCAGUGGAAACCUCUGGAAUUUCUAGAGAGUGGGUGUCAGUUUCCUUUCCAGGCCCAGCCUGCUUAUUAUUCCUGAGUUCCUUCAUGUUCCUCAGUUAAUUAUAGAUGAGAUUUUGUAUUUUAUAGUCCUUCCUCAUAUGUUUCUAAAUUGCCUUAGUCCCAACUGCUGAAAUACUCAUCUAUUUUCUCUUUCUUUCUUUUUUUUUUUUUUGAGAGAGAGAGCACGUGUGAGGCACGGAGGCGCAGCAGGAGAGGGAGAGAGCCAAUCGCAAGCAGAGCUGGUGCUGUGCAUGGAGCCCAGAGCCUGUCAUGGGGCUGGAUCUCACUACCCUGAGACCUUAGCUGAAAUCGAGAGUGGGACCUUUAUCAGUCUGAGCCACCUAGGCACCUGUCAUCAGUUGUCUUAAUUAGGACUUCCUUUUUUUUUUUAAAUACCUUUUUAAUUUUUUAAAAAACGACUCAAUUUUUUAGAGAUUUUAUUUAUUUAUUUGACAGAGAGAGAAAGAGGGAGUGAGAGAGCACAGCAGGGGGAGCGACAGGCAGAAGGAGAAGCAGGCUUCCGGCAGACAGCCCUACAUGGCACUUGAUCCCAGGACCCUCGGAUCAUGGGAGACGCUUAACCAACUGAGCCACCCAGGCAUCCCAUAAUUAGGACUUUCUAUGUGCAAGUUGUGGACACGUGGGGGAGGAAGGGAAUGUAUUGACUUUUUUUUUUUUUUAAAGAUUUUGUUUAUUUGACAGAGAUAGACAGCCAGCGAGAGAGGGAACACAAGCAGGGGGAGUGGGAGAGGAAGAAGCAGGCUCAUAGCGGAGGAGCCUGAUGUGGGGCUCGAUCCUACAACGCCGGGAUCACGCCCUGAGCCGAAGGCAGACGCUUAACCGCUGUGCCACCCAGGCGCCCCAUGGAAUGUAUUGACUUUUGUAAGUAGAUGGCUUCAGGCAUGGCUGCGUCCAGGAUUUUAGAGGAUGUUACCCAGACUGGGCUUCUUUUAAUCUCUCAAUUCUGAUUUCUUCUUUGUUGAUUUUAUUCCCAGACAGGGUCACUCUUCGGGGAGGUCUCCUCCAGCUUCCAUCUUAUACUGUUGUAGUCCUAAGACCAGACAGAGGAGCUACUCUCAACCCAAAAGGCCCAAUAGACAUCCUGGCGGGGGCGGGGGGCUGUCCUAGAUUGGAUUGUAUACAUAUUCCUGAACUGCUCAUUGUGAUCGGAGGGUUGGGAUGUGCGCUUUCCUGAGGCAUAGGCCACAUGCCCUCCUUUAGAGCUGAAAUGCAGAUUAUAUCUAGUGGGGAGCCCACCCAAAGUACAUGAUUGAGUGGCACGGUUUCCCUGAAAGGGAAAUUGAGGCGCUGAAAUCAAAGGAAAGGCAAAUGGAGUUGUGAGAGGGGCUGAGAAAGUGAUGACACCUUGUUGGACCCCGGGGGCAGGCUGAGGGGGAGAAGGGGCAAAUGACCACUGGGCAGGGGAAAACAGUAUCGCGUUUCUUACCGCAAUGCUGCUAUGAGAGUUAUUGUGUAACGUAUUGGUGCUGGAUUCGUUGCUUGUUGUUGCUAUAAAGUCUUACCACAAACUUAGUGGCUUGAAAUGACACAAAUUUAUUAUCUUACAGUUCUGGAGGUCAGAAGUCUGAAAUAAGUCUUAAAUCAGGCUGUUGCCAAGGCUGUAUUGCUUCUAGAGGCUCCAGGGGAGAGUCCAUUUCUUUGCCUUUUCCGGCUUCUAGAGGCUGCCUGCGUUCCUUGGCUCGUGGCCCCUUCUUCCAUCGAUCCAGCCUCUUCUUCCUUCAUCACAGCUCCUUCUUCUGACUCUGAUCUUCCCGGUGAUUACAGGACUCACCCGGGUAACCCAGGUUAACCUUUUUGUCUCAAGAUCAGUAAUUUAAUAUGUCUGUAAAGUCCCUUUUACCACAACAAAGAAUUAUUAUUGAAAAAAAAUUUUUUUAAAGUAGGCUCCACGCCCAGCAUGGAGCCCAACAGGGGGCUUGAACUCACAAACCUGAGAUCAAGACCUGAGCUGAGAUCAAGGUCAGACACUUAACCGACUGAGUCCCCAGGCUCCCCAACAGAGAAUUAUUUGACCCAGAUGUCUACAGUGCUGAGAUUGAAAUACCCUAGUGUCAGUGUACCUAAUCUUAACAAUGACAGGAGCACAAUCACACACACACACACACACACACACACACACCAUAAGAACGCACAAUUUGAAUAUUAAGCAUAUUUUGUUUCAAACAUCCUUUUUAGAGCCCUCAUAUAUUUAUAGAGACUUCUCUAUAUAUUUUAAAUUCCUUAAUAGUUUAUCCAAGUAUUAUAUGGGUUUACUUUAUAUAUCUAAACUUUGGAUUCACCUGGAGUUUACUCUAGUAUAUAUUCAUUUUCUCCCCAAAUAUCUAUCUACAUGUUCCCAAAACUUGAUUUUUUAAAACAAUUUAUUUUAGGUAAGCUCCAUGCCUAGUGUGGAGCCCAGUGCAGGGCUUAAACUUAUGAUCCUGAGAUCAAGACCUGAGCUGAGAUCAAGAGUCAGACACUCAGCCAACUGAGCCACCCAGGCAUCCCUACCAAAAACUCUUAAUGAAGAAUUCUUCCUCAUUGAUUUGAAGUGGCCCUUAAUUAUAUACAAUUUUUAAAGCACUGUGUUCUAUUGCUGGACUUUCUUUCCCUCCCUCCCUCCUUCUUUGCCCUCCUUCCUCCCUCCCUCCUUUCCCUCCCUCCCCUCCCUACCUUCCUCCUUUUCUCCCUUCUUCCCUUCCUCCUUUCCUCCCUCUCUCCCUCCCUUCCUCCCUCCCUUCCUCCC